AUUCUUUGCAUACUGCUCAGUAACACGUGGAUAACCUGCCCUACACUGGGGGAUAAUCUCGGGAAACUGAGGAUAAUACCCCAUAGACCACUACGCCUGGAACGGUGAGUGGUUGAAAGCUCAGGCGGUGUAGGAUGGGUCUGCGGCGUAUCAGGUCGUAGGGGGUGUAAUGGACCUCCUAGCCAUCGACGCGUACGGGUUGUGGGAGCAAUAGCCCGGAGACGGAUUCUGAGACACGAAUCCGGACCCUACGGGGUGCAGCAGGCGCGAAAACUUCACACUGCAGGAAACUGUGAUGAGGGAACUCCAAGUGACUGCCCAAUGGGUAGCCUUUUCUUGAAUCUUAAUAGUUCUUGGAAUAAGGGCUGGGAAAGACCGGUGCCAGCCGCCGCGGUAAUACCGGCAGCUCAAGUGGUCGUCGCUUUUAUUGGGCCUAAAACGUCCGUAGCCUGUUUGGUAAAUCUGUGGGUAAAUCAACGAGCUUAACUCGUUGAAUUCUGCAGAGACUGCCAGACUAGGGACCGGGAGAGGUAUGAGGUACUCUGGGGGUAGGGGUAAAAUCCUGUCAUCCUCAGAGGACCACCUGUUGCGAAGGCGUCAUACUGGAACGGAUC
rnacentral:rRNA from 1 species